rnacentral:rRNA from 1 species
UACAGAGGUCUCGAGCGUUAGGCGGAAUCACUGGGCUUAAAGCGUGUGUAGGUGGAUCGUUAAGUACCUUGUGAAAUCCCACGGCUUAACCGUGGAACUGCUUGGUAUACUGGCGGUCUUGAGCCACUUAGGGGCUACCGGAACAAAUGGUGGAGCGGUGAAAUGCGUAGAUAUCAUUUGGAACGCCAAUGGUGAAAACAGGUAGCUGGGAGUGUGCUGACACUGAGACACGAAAGCCAGUGGAGCAAACGGG